UGAGCUAUGAUCACCCUACUGCACUUCAGCCUGGGUAAUAGAGUGAGACACUUGUCUCUAAAAAAAAAAAAAGAAAGAAAGUUAUUGUCCACUCAGGGGCACCUCAUGCAUCAGUACAGGUUACACACUGCAAAACCCCACAUCCUGUACUCACACGUAUUACCAUGAUAAUUGUUCACUGUAUUAUUCUUUUUAGGUAAGACAUAUACAUUUCAACAGGAGCACAAGCAACACUUGUUAUAAUAAUAAUAGUAACAUAGUAACAGCAACAAGCUCCACUUAUUAAAUGCCUACAACACGCCACGUACACUAGUAGGUGUUUUAUGUCUUCACGAAAUCCCGGCAGGGUAGGUAUUAUUAUCUGUAUUUUAGGGAUGAAGAAAUUGGUGCUCAAGGAAAAGCAACUUGCUCAGGGUCAUACAGGUUGUAUGAAGUAGGAGCAGGGUCAAACUGAGGUUGUCUGUCCCCCCAAAGCCAGGGUUCCUUCCUUUGUGCCACACACUGCCUCACCCAGAUGGCCAAGACCAAUUUCUGAUCUUUGCAGUUAAUAGACCUCCUUGCCUUCUAUUUGAUUGUAUUAGAAUACUGCAGGCCUGCAGGAAACUCCCAUGUGCUUCCAGGGGUCCCCACCCUUCUCAGGGGACACAAUGGCCACCUCUAUGUGCAGUUGAGCCUGAGAGACAAGUUCUCAGGCUGGGCAGAGCAGAGAACAGAGAAGCUAGCUUUGCCUGGCCUCUCAAAACUAGCCUUUCCAUGGCUGUCAGUAGGAAUGUACCGAGGCAGUGUACCAGGAAAAAAAGAGGAAUGGAUGCAGAGUAUCCUAGCAACUUCCAAAGGGACAAUGGGUGGGCGUUACGGCAUUGAUGACAUUAUGAGUCAUCUCACUGACUCUUGUGAGCCCAGAGAGAUCCAAUGCAGGGUGCCUCACUCCAUGCUCAAGUCACAGAUGUACCCGCCUUCAUCUGACUGAUACAGGCUAGAGCCAAUAUUCAAGGCCUGGUCAUUUUCCUCGCAAGGUGCCCAUUUCCUCUCAUGCCGUGCUUCCCUAACAGGAGGCUCCAGAGAGGCACCAACAGGACACCUGGGCUUCUUGCUGAUUAAUCUCGCAGUGUUAAACACUUCUGCGGAAUAAAACAAUGAUGUCAACAAACAAAAUGGAGAAUAUCUUGUAAGACCACUUUGUCCAACUGCACUGAAACAAGAGGGGUGAAGAGGCCCUGGAGCUGAAAUUUCAAACGUGAAGCUUGCUUAGCUUGCCUCGCCCAUGGCAUAAUAAUGUAGUGGCUUAAAUCUACCAACAGAUGAAGAAUCCGGCAACUCUGUCUUGUUUUCUGGUUUACUUUGAUAUGGCCCAGUGGUUCUCAGUGGGAGUGCUACUGCCCCCUAGGGGUGGCUAGAAAAUUUGUGGGGUGUGUUUCGGUUGUCACAAGAGGAGGGGGUGGCACUACUGGCAUUUAGGAGGCCCAAGCAUUGACAGUAGACAUCCUAUUAUGUCUGAGACCAAUGCGUACGACAAAGCAUUAUUCCACAUCCUGUUUAUGAUCAUUUGCACCUAGAAUCGACUUUGAAUUACAUGGAAAUUCAGUUAUCUUUGCAUUUGAUUUUAAUGCAUUUAAUUUUCCAGGAAUUCAACAACUGUGCACAGGAGAGAAGACUGUAUUUUUGGUUUGGAACACUGUCAAAAGGUGUUCACUAUUUUGGAAAAUGGCAGUGCCUGACAUCCCUGACAGAAGCGCUUCUCAUGGUGGUGUAGCCACAUGACACUUCUGUAUUAGCCUGGACUUACAGCUGUGGCUUUCAGUAGUGAUUCUACUUACAGUAAAAGGUAGGCUCUCUGUCUGUUGUGUGGACUAGCACAUCCCAAGCACCUACACAGGACCUGGAACAUAGAGGGCACCUGAUGAAUACACUGAGGCACAAAGAAGUUUAAAUAACCCACCCAAGGUCCCACCGCUGGUAAGUAAGGGAUAAAAAUUUCAAGCCCAAAUAGUCAGGCUGCAAAGCUCAUACUCUCAACUGUAAUACCAAGUUCCCUAUCAAUUAACCAGUCCCUACUCUAUAUCAAAGACAAAAGUAAUUACAUCUCUUCUUAUUUAAUCCACAUAAUAACCCAGGGAAGUAGCUCUUUUCAUCUUGUUGACUGGUCACUAAAAAUCCAAAAGAUAAAGCAACUUGCCUAGAAUCAUACAGCUAAUAAGUAUAGGCUCCAACUAACUUCAAAUUUCAUGUUCUUUCUGUAGUUUUACAGCCUCCCAGAGAGCGGUCUUCCAAUCUCUGUUCAUGAAUUACAGAAUAAUGAAGUCUUAGAUGGGAAAUAACCUGAAAAACGUCCUCGUCUGUCCUCUUCACUUCUCCUACCCACGUAAUAACGAGUGGAUUAUUCUGGACAGUAGUUUUCAUACUACCUUCUCUGGAUCUCUUUCCUUCUAGAACUUUCUAUCUUUCAGAGUUAGUAGGUGGGGGGGCUUCACCUACUAGUAGGUUUUGAGGCUCCAACUCAGCUUCAACUAUAUCUCCUCUUUCAUCUGUUUAUAUAGCAGGAUACCAGGCAUGUUUCAUUUGAAUAAUUUUGGAAAAAGUUUGAAGGCUACUCUUCCAGAGGACCAGUGGCCUGCAUUGUAGCAGAGAGACGGGGUGAUCACUGUUAUUCAGACAUGCUUUCUUUACAACACACAACUGAGCAAACAAGACAGCAGGCAACUGCAUAUGCGACCACUUAUCCCUUUCCCGAUUUGCAUUUGUGGAAAACAAGUUUCAGAUUUAACAGCGAGUCUUUUACAACUCUGCUUGACUCCAUUAAUGACAGCUCAGUUUUUCAACGUUGCAAGAAAAAGAGCCAGAUAUCAUUCAGAGUGAUAAUGUGACAACCCAAAUGUGAGUCCUGGACUGAGAACAGAACGGAAGAUGAAAGGAAUUAAUGCUGUCUUUGGCUAGAACCUGAAGACAGCAGGUGGAAAGGCUGAUGUACAAACAGUCUUAGAAGUUAGAGACGUACUUUGGGAGGCCGAGGCAGGCAGAUCACGAGGUCAGGAGAUCGAGAUCAUCCUGGCUAACACGGUGA